rnacentral:rRNA from 1 species
CCUACGGGAGGCAGCAGUGAGGAAUAUUGGUCAAUGGGCGAGAGCCUGAACCAGCCAAGUCGCGUGAGGGAGUACUGCCCUAUGGGUUGUAAACCUCUUUUGUCGGGGAGCAAAAGCCGGACGUGUCCGGCUGUGAGAGUACCCGAAGACAAAGCAUCGGCUAACUCCGUGCCAGCAGCCGCGGUAAUACGGAGGAUGCGAGCGUUAUCCGGAUUUAUUGGGUUUAAAGGGUGCGCAGGCGGAUUUUUAAGUCAGCGGUAAAAUCGUGGGGCUCAACCCCAUCCAGCCGUUGAAACUGGGGAUCUAGAGUGUGCGAGAGGUAUGCGGAAUGCGUGGUGUAGCGGUGAAAUGCAUAGAUAUCACGCAGAACCCCGAUUGCGAAGGCAGCAUACCGGUGCACAACUGACGCUCAGGCACGAAAGCGUGGGUAUCGAACAGGAUUAGAUACCCGAGUAGUC